UACGUAGGGGGCAAGCGUUGUCCGGAUUUAUUGGGCGUAAAGAGCGUGUAGGCGGCCAGGUAGGUCUGCUGUGAAAACUCGAGGCUCAACCUCGAGACGUCGGCGGAAACCAUCUGGCUAGAGUCCGGAAGAGGAGAGUGGAAUUCCUGGUGUAGCGGUGAAAUGCGCAGAUAUCAGGAGGAACACCGGUGGCGAAGGCGGGUCUCUGGGCAGUAACUGACGCUGGAGGAGCGAAGCGUGGGAGCGAGCAGG
rnacentral:rRNA from 1 species